GCCGCCAAGACGACACCCAGAACUUGCCUAUGACGCCCCGUUUUUGUCACGACCACUUCGACCAAAGUGAGUUCUUCUGCGCGGAGGACACGGGUCGUUCACAGCUUCGAUGGAACGCGAUGCCGACGCUUCUGCUUCCAGUCGAGGACGUGAUCGAGGCAUCUCCGCUGAAGCGCCAGAAAGUCGUGGGCAACGACACUGGUGCCACCAGUCGGGUACUAGUACCUUCUAGUAGUCCUGAGCAUCAGGACAAUGGUGCUGUGGAGCCUGCCACAACAGGUCAAGGUGCUCCAGUGACAAACACCCUUGCUGUGGUAGCAGCUGCACCACCAGUAGCUGCACCACCAGCAGCUGUACCACCAGCGACAGCCAUUGCCAUGGAGGAGGCAGUUACACCACCAGUAGCUGCACAACCAGCAGCUGCACCACCAGCGACAGCCAUUGCUGUGGAGGAGGCGGUUCCACUAAGUCCGCUAAGCCCUGGAGCCACCAGCAUCUCAUCGGGAUCCGAUCUGACAUACUCCCCAACUCGUGACGAAGAUUUUGAGAGCGAUCAAUACACACCAGGCCCACCAGAGGGGGAGCGACAGUUCCUCGUGUUUGAGAGCUGCCUGAGGGAGCUGUUCAGCACCUGCCAGGAGUGUUCAAGGCCCUGCAACACCACAAUCACCCCCCUGGGCACACUGAUCAAGGUGAAAAGCAUCUGCCCCCUGAAUCACGAGCGGAUAUGGGACAGUCAGCCUCUCAUGAACGGGAGGGCAGCUGGAAACAUCCUGCUGUCCAGCCACCUGCUGUUCUCUGGAUCAAAUGUCACAAGCACCUUGAGGAUGCUGCGCCACAUGAACGUGGAGGUCUUCAGCGAUCAGACCUUCUACACGUAUCAGAAGAGCCUCCUGUUCCCUGCAAUCGACGAAGUCUACCUGCAAGAACAACAGGAUCUGGUCAGACAGCUGGAGGACCAGGAUGUUGACAUCACCAGCGAUGGCAGAUUCGACUCUCCUGGGUUCUCUGCCAAGUUCCUGACCUACACUGCACAUGUUCAGCAGAUCAACAAGAUCCUCCACUCCAUCCAAGUCCAGCUAGGAGAGUCGGAGCGAGCCAUGGCAAGUGUCAACAUGGAGAAGGAGGGCCUUAUCAAGCUGCUGGAAUUUUUCAAGGAGAAACGUAUCCAUGUAAAAUCCUUGGGCACUGACCGCCACCCUGCCAUACGAAAACACAUGGAGGUGCACGAACCUGGGACCGCCCACUACUUCGACAUUUGGCACAUCUCCAAAAGUGUGAAGAAAAAGCUGAACGCAGCACGAAAACGAGCUGGAUGUUAACCCCUAGAAGAGUGGACGCAGGCGACCACCAACCACAUGUACUGGUCUGCCAUGGCUGCGGGAGGCAACAGGGAGCUGCUCGUCGAGAUCUGGCUGAGCAUGCAGAACCACGUCAUCGACAAGCACACUGGUCACGGGGGCAGCUACACGCGGUGUGUGCACAACGAAAUUCUCGAAGCCACAAAAAUGUGGAUGGAUCCCAACUCCCCGGCCUACAGUCACUACAAGCAGAUCACUGGGAACAAGCGCCUCCUGAAGGACCUGGCCCAGAUGUCCCCCCACGGCCAGACAUUCGCCCUGGAAUCCUUCCACAGCGUCCUCAUUGACUUCGCUCCCAAGUCCCGGGCAUUCACUCCAGAAGGCAUGCGUGCAAGGACUCGAGUGGCAAUCUUGCAUUUCAAUGAGAACGCUGAUCGCUGCCAAGCUGAGACGAAGAGGGCAAGCCACGCUGGGCGGUGAAAACAUCCAAAGCACGCAAGGGCCACCACACAGCUUGUCCCGUCAAGACAGCACCCACCUACAAACCUUCAAUUCCAGGCUACGUUCACAAGCUCCAAGAGGAGGUGAUCGCAAUCAAUAGUCGAUGGCGGUGUCUUGCUACUGCGGCGAAGGCCAGCACCAACAUCUUUCCGGCGCCCAUGACUGCGGCCUUUGCCAGGCCUUCAAAGGAGGAGUUAGUGGAAGCACGGAGGUCCCGCUUCGGCCGUACUCUGCAGUAA
rnacentral:sRNA from 1 species